UCCGUAGGUGGAAGGUUAAGUCAGAGGUGAAAUCCUGCAGCUCAACUGUAGAAUUGCCUUUGAUACUGGCUUUCUUGAAUUAUUGUGAAGUAGCUAGAAUAUGUAGUGUAGCGGUGAAAUGCAUAGAUAUUACAUAGAAUACCGAUUGCGAAGGCAGGUUACUAACAAUAUAUUGACACUGAUGGACGAAAGCGUGGGUAGCGAACG
rnacentral:rRNA from 1 species